rnacentral:rRNA from 1 species
CCCAGUGAUCCUAUUCAACGGCCGCGGUAUUCUGACCGUGCAAAGGUAGCAUAAUCAUUUGUCUUUUAAAUAAAGACUAGUAUGAAUGGCACCACGAAAGCUUAACUGUCUCCCUUGCUUAGUCAAUGAAACUGAUUUUCCCGUACAAAAGCGGGGAUAUUAAAAUAAGACGAGAAGACCCUAUGGAACUUAAAACACGCAAUCACUUUAACUUAAUAUAACAGCAAUAAAUGACUGAACUAUGCUGUUUUUGGUUGGGGCGACCACGGAGCAAAACCCAACCUCCGAGAACACUACCCAGAUAGACACAACAAAGUACCAAAACUUUGGAUUUAGACCCAAUAAACUUGAUCACCGAACCAAGCUACCCUAGGGAUAACAGCGCAAUCUUCUUCAAGAGCCCUUAUCACCAAGAAGGUUUACGACCUCGAUGUUGGAUCAGGAUACCCAGACAGUGCAGCCGCCGUCAAAGGUUUGUUUGUUCAACAAUUAAUAAUCCUACGUGAUCU